AGUCUACAGAACAUGAGCAUCCAGGAUGCUGAAACCCAGGUCAUGAAUGAGCAGGAGAUAAAUGAUCUAAUGAACAGUGUAAUUGAUUGGGGGACAGUGAAGGAGGAGUUAGUAAUGAGGAGAUUGAAGCACAUGACAGUGAAGAUGAGGACUAUGUCCCUCGUAUUUGUAUUCGGUUGGGUGGAGCAUUGCAGGCACCACCACGCAUUGACAAUCUGCCUGUGAUAGAUGCCAGUGAGACAGUACAUGACAUCCCGGAUGUAGAGCCUCCAUCAGUCACCUUACCUACACUUCAACAACCUGGCUUUCCUGAUACACUGGAGGUCAUGACUGAAGAUGACCUAAUUGGGAAACGG